UAGGGAAUCUUCCGCAAUGGACGAAAGUCUGACGGAGCAACGCCGCGUGAGCGAAGAAGGUCUUCGGAUCGUAAAGCUCUGUUGUCAGGGAAGAACAAGUACCGUUCGAACAGGGCGGUACCUUGACGGUACCUGACCAGAAAGCCACGGCUAACUACGUGCCAGCAGCCGCGGUAAUACGUAGGUGGCAAGCGUUGUCCGGAAUUAUUGGGCGUAAAGCGCGCGCAGGCGGUCUCUUAAGUCUGAUGUGAAAGCCCACGGCUCAACCGUGGAGGGUCAUUGGAAACUGGGAGACUUGAGUGCAGAAGAGGAGAGCGGAAUUCCACGUGUAGCGGUGAAAUGCGUAGAGAUGUGGAGGAACACCAGUGGCGAAGGCGGCUCUCUGGUCUGUAACUGACGCUGAGGCGCGAAAGCGUGGGGAGCGAACAGG
rnacentral:rRNA from 1 species